GUGCUUGCUUUGGCAGCACAUAUACUAAAAUUGGAAUGAUACAGAGAAGAUUAGCAUGGCCCAUGUGCAAGGAUGACAUGCAAAUUCAUGAAGCAUUCCAUAUUUUU
rnacentral:snRNA from 1 species